rnacentral:lncRNA from 1 species
UUUAAGUAAGAAUUCACUUGCAAUGCCAAUAAAAUAGUGACGAAAAGGAAGUUAAAAUAUUUAGAUUUUACCUUUAGUUUUAUCAUUGAAGAUCUAUUCUUCUCCACUUUGCAAAAGUAAAAUUGUUGAAGCUCAUAAAUCAUAAUCAAAAUCCUUGAGGUCUAUUUUAUUCCCAAAUAUUUCAUGAGAGUGAUUAUCUUCUUGGAUUUGCUUAAUUAGUUAAAUUUAUUUGUUAUUUAUGAAUGUGUUUUUCUAGAAUUUUGAUGAUGUACGAAGUUUGAGUGCUAACACUAUAAGAAAUCAGAUUUAGCGGCGACUUAAUUUAUUGCAACAAAAGCUAGACUUUUUGCGGCGAUUAUAAUUAUCGCUACAGAAGGUAAGCUUUUAAUGGCGACUUUUCAAAGGUCGCUCCUAAUACGUUUAGCUAAACACUGAAUUUUUCUUUCCCGCUAAGACCGAAAAUUUUGCUUAAGAGUUUUGUAGCGACUUUUAUAAAGUUGCCGUUGAAGGUCUUUUGUGGCGACUCAGUCGCCUCUAACACUACUAAAGGUUUUUAUAAGAAAAAUCACUCUUAUUAAAUGAAAAAAGAAGCACACACUGAUGUAGGUCUUCUUCUCCUUACUCGUCUCUCUAUAGAAAAUUUUCCCAUUCAAUUUCCUCUCUGCUCAAAUCUCUCGAUUUUAACUGCUCAAAUCACAAAUUGUGAUCCAUUUGAUAGCAAAACAAAAUCCCUAAUCAAAAAUCUUGACUCCAUCAGGUACGUGCUCCAAUCUCAAGCUCAAAUCCCUUUUCAGUGGUAUAUACAGUUAGCGAGAAUGAUAAUAUCAAUGAUUUUGCAUAUUUCAUCUAUAAUUUCUCUGACCCAGUUGAAAAUCUAUAGGAAUAAAAGGAAAUUCAUACAGUAAUAGUCCGUGGUGAGGAGUCGGAUGUUCCGGCUUUUCAGUCCGACGCUAAACUUCUCUCGGCCUCCGAAAAAAUUGAGUAGUAAACUAUUUUUUAAUUCGCGGUCUUGACAGCUUCGAGUCUCUCGCUAUCUCUUUCUCUAGCAAAAUCGAGUAGUAAUUUUGUGUUAAUUAUAAGAGUUUGGUUCUUUUCUUGGUAGCAGAAGUACGAACUUUCAUAGUUUUUGGGUAUUUAUUUGUUUUUUAUUUGUGGGUUAUUCCUGGAAACAGCCUCUACCUCCAUUGGGUAGAGGUAAGGUCUGCGUACAUAUUACUCUCCCCAGACCCCACUUGCGGGAUUACACUGGGUUGUUGUUGUUGUUUAUUUGUGGAUUAUUGUUGUUUUGUUGUUGUAGUUUAUUUUGUUAGUAGAGAAAGGCAUUGGGGGUACUUGUAUUAGCGGAAAAAGGAGGAUUGAUUGAGAGAAUAUAUCAAUUUGGUAAUUUUGUUCUUGACAUGAAGGAUAAAUGUGGUGUUGGAGGUGUCGAGGUUAUGUUUUUAGAAGAUAGAAUUACUGAAGAUUAGCCUAUCUCCCCAUGGACCUUUACUGUUGCUAGGUAAUCCAAACUAUUUGUUGGCUAAUUCUUCAAUUUUGUAGCUUUUGCUUAACAUUGCUAUAGAUUGUGUUAACUUUUCCUGCUAUACCCCAAAAGAAUAUUAUAGUGCUCCAUGUUUAAUCGUGCAAUUCUUAGUUAUUUGUAAACUGAAAUAAUGGGAUCUAAUGUGUAGUUGGAAAUAGUGUUAUUAUCUUCUUUUUCUUUAGAUUAAGUUCUAUUCAGUUAGUUUCCUGCUCCGGAAGAAACUAUUUAGUUAUUACCGAUUUCUGCACCUAGAUUUAUUAAUUAAUGUGUGUUUGGUUUUGAAAAUAAUUAAUAUAGUUUAUGUAAAGUUGUCAACUAUACGAUGAUUAGUCCUUCUUGGCAGUCAUCUUUAUAGAGUUAUGUGGAUAUAGCUUGUUCUGGGAUUCACACUACAACAAAGGACUUGCCUUCACUGUGGUGGAGAGAGAUGCUAUCACACGGCCUUCUACCUUAUGUUGUUUCAAGCCAAGAACUUCAGGUCAUUUGAUAAUUUGUUGACUUAUAACCGCGAGUUCGUUUUUCCAUCUCCACUCAUAAUUAGAUUGGUAAUAUUUUUUCAUCAAAUAUCAGGAGAAGACAUUAAUGCACAAUCUUGUCCAAUAUUGAGUUUUCCCGCAAAGAUACAUGGCUAUGAUGAUUCUUUAGUAGUCUUACCUCUCACAAUGGCAGUAGAAAUUUCACAUCAGGUUCAUUAUAUGAACUUAAAUGGAGGUGGUAGGAGGUUAGAUGGCAUCCUCAUGUAAAGAGAGGAUCAUGUCUAAAUUCUGGACAGGUUCACCACUUAACUUGUCUUCACUAAUCGUGUCUUCAUGUUGUUCUCUUGCGCGGUCAAUGGGAUGACCCAAAAGGUCAUUACUUAUUUUUAAAAUAAAUUCUGCAUUCCGAGGCCUUAAAGACCUCUUUUAGCAUCACCUCGAUUUGCGUGCACAGUUCGGGCGCAUCGCGGAAAAGCCUAUAUGUGAAAAUCUAUCAAAAAUGAUAAAUUUUGAUUAUAAAAUGAAUUAAUUUGACUUCGGUCAACGUUUUGGGUAAACGGACACGGACCUGUGAUUUGACGGUCCCGGAGGGUCCGUAGGAAAAUAUGGGACUUGGGCGUAUGCCCGAAAUCGAAUUCCGAGGUCCCAAACCCGAGAAAUGAAUUUUUGAAAGAAAUUGUUUUCUGUAAAAUAUAAAGGUUUUUGAAAGUGAAAUGUUAUGUGAAACCUGCGGUAUCGGGCCCGUAUUAUGGUUCCGGAGCCGGGUACAAGUUCAAUAUGAUUUAUAUAUGUUGACGGUAAAGUUUGGUAAGAAACGAAAUCCAUUCGACGUGAUUCAGAUCGUAAAUGCAAAAUUUGAUGUUUAAAGAAGUUUUGAGAAAUUUCAUUGAUCUUGAGGUUUAAUUCAAUGUUCAUGAUGUUAUUGUGGUGAUUUGAUUACACGAAUAAGUUCGUAGUAUGUUUUUGAGGUUGUGCGUAUGUUUGGUUUGGAGCCCCGAUGGCUCGGGUGAGUUUUGGAUAGGCCACGGGGUGCAUAUUGGACUUAGAAAAUUGCAGAUUUCUCAGCUGGUGUAUUAGGUCUGCAGGCUUCGCAAAUGCGAGCUUGCAAAUGCAAAACCUCCAUCGCAAAUGCGAAACAAGGACCUGGGCAGGCCUGAUCGCAAAUGCGACCAUUUGGCUCGCAAAUGCGGAAGUCCCAGUCGCAAAUGCGACGCCUGCUUCGCAAAUGCAAAGUUCUCCUUUGGUGCCUGAGGUCGCAAAUGCGAGCCUCCCUACGCAAUUCCCAAGCUAACAGAGGUCGGUGUUCGCAAUUGCGAACCCAUGUUCGCAUUUCCCACAUCUGCAACCUGCAACUUUUAUACUUAGGCGAAUUUUAAUCUAUUUUCACAUCUUUUAAAAAACAUCGCAAAUGUGACUUUUCAAGAGCAACUCUUCUUCCAAAUCGAUUGUAAGUUAAUUUUAACACAUGUCCUUCAAUCAUUAACCUCUUUUAACAUGAUUUCAACUCAAAAUCAAUGAUUUUCAUGGGGAAAUUGGGUGUUUUGGGUAGAACCUAGUUUUUUCAAAAAUUGGGGAUUUGGACCUCGAUUUGAGGUCCGAUUUCAAAACAAAUUAUAUAUUUGGAUUCGUAGGGUAAAGGGUAAUCGAGUUUUGGUUCGAACCUCAGGUUUUGACCAUGUGGGCCCGGGGGCGACUUUUAACUUUUUGGGUGAAACUUUGGGAAAUUCAUUUUCAUGUAUUCAAAUUAAUUCAUUUAGCAUUUAUUGAUGUAAUUAAGUAACUUGUGACUAGAUACGAGCGAAUUGGUGGUUGAAUCAAGGGGUAAAACUAUAAUUGAAUUGUGAAAGCUAUAAUUGAAUUGUGAAUUGUGUUCGUGGCAUCGAGGUAAGUGUUUGGUCUAACCUUAGCUUGAGGGAUUAGGAGUCGAGUCUUAUUUGCUAUGUGUAAGGGUGAUGCCGUGCAUUAUUUUUGUGAGGAAAGAGUGUAAAGCACGAAGGGUGAUACCGUGUAUGAUUGUGAGAAAAGAGUGUAAAGCACGAAGGGUGAUGCUGUGCACAUUUUUAUUAUAUGAUUGCUUUGGUGAGGACGAGAGUAAAAGCACGAAAGGUGAUGCUGUGCACAUUUUUAUUAUAUGAUUGCUUUGGUGAGGACGGGAGUAAAAGCACGAAGGGUGAUGCCGUGCAUUUAUUAAUUUCUAAUUCUUUGUUGAUACCCGAGUUAUAUUGUUUAUUUCGUUUACUUGAUGUUUUUCUAUUUGGAAUUGAUAUCUCCCCCGCAGCAUGCUCCCCCUCCCAUACUUGACUGUUUAUUUCUGUAGUUCUUUUCCGCCAUAUAUAUUGAAUUGCACAGGUAGUCUGGUCCUAGCCUCGUCACUACUUCGCCGAUGUUAGGCUAGGCAUUUACCAGCACAUGGGGUCGGUUGUGCUGAUACUACACUCUGCACUAUGUGCAGAUCCCGGAGUAGCUCUUGGACCGUAGUUUGGAGGCUACCUUCAGUCCACGCGGAGAUCCAAGGUAGACCUACAGGCGUCCGCAGGCCCUGACGUCUCCUUCUAUCCCUUAUUCCCUGUUUAUUUCCUUACUUCAGAAACAAUGUACUGUUAUUUCUUCAGACUUUGUAUGUAGCAGUCUUAGACCGUCUGUGACACUGUGACACCAGGUUUUGGGUGAUUAAGACUUAAGUAGUUGUAAUAAAUGCAGAUUUCAGAUAUUUCAUUAUUUUCUUCCGCUUAAAUUUAAACUUCCGUUAUUUAUGCGUUAUCGCUUUAUGUUUGUUAAAGAGAAAUACAAUUGGUAAAAAGGUAAUUGUUUGAUAAUUGGCUUGCCUAGCUCCCAUU